rnacentral:rRNA from 1 species
UACGGAGGGUGCAAGCAUUACUCGGAUUUAUUGGGCGUAAAGGGCGCGUAGGCGGGGUUGUAAGUCAGAUGUGAAAUUCCGAAGCUCAACUUCGGAGCUGCAUUUGAAACUACAAGUCUAGAGGAGUGGCGGAGAAAAUGGAAUUCCACGUGUAGCGGUGAAAUUGGUAGAUAUGUGGAAGAACACCUGUGGCGAAAGCGGUUGUCUAGCUUAUUCCUGACGCUGAGGCGCGAGAGCAAGGGUAGCAAACGGG